rnacentral:rRNA from 1 species
UUAUCCGGAUUUAUUGGGUUUAAAGGGUGCGUAGGCGGCAAGGUAAGUCAGCGGUGAAAGACCAGGGCUCAACUCUGGAAGUGCCGUUGAUACUGUCUGGCUAGAAUGAUUCCGCUGUGGGAGGAAUGAGUAGUGUAGCGGUGAAAUGCAUAGAUAUUACUCAGAACACCGAUUGCGAAGGCAUCUCACGAGGGGUUCAUUGACGCUGAGGCACGAAAGCGUGGGGAUCGAACAGGAUUAGAUACCCUGGUAGUCCACGCAGUAAACGAUGAUGGCUAACUGUCGGGCCUUCGGGUUCGGCGGCCAAGCGAAAGCGAUAAGCCAUCCACCUGGGGAGUACGACCGCAAGGUUGAAACUCAAAGGAAUUGACGGGGGCCCGCACAAGCGGAGGAACAUGUGGUUUAAUUCGAUGAUACGCGAGGAA